rnacentral:rRNA from 1 species
CCUACGGGAGGCAGCAGUGGGGAAUAUUGGGCAAUGGGCACAAGCCUGACCCAGCAACGCCGCGUGAAGGAAGAAGGCUUUCGGGUUGUAAACUUCUUUUCUCAGGGACGAAGAAAGUGACGGUACCUGAGGAAUAAGCCACGGCUAACUACGUGCCAGCAGCCGCGGUAAUACGUAGGUGGCAAGCGUUAUCCGGAUUUAUUGGGUGUAAAGGGCGUGUAGGCGGGAGCGCAAGUCAGAUGUGAAAACUCAGGGCUCAACCCUGAGCCUGCAUUUGAAACUGUGUUUCUUGAGUGCUGGGGAGGCAAUCGGAAUUCCGUGUGUAGCGGUGAAAUGCGUAGAUAUACGGAGGAACACCAGUGGCGAAGGCGGAUUGCUGGACAGUAACUGACGCUGAGGCGCGAAAGCGUGGGGAGCAAACAGGAUUAGAUACCCGAGUAGUC